UAAUUUACCUUUGGGUGGGGAAUAACAGUCGGAAACGACUGCUAAUACCGCCUGAUGCAGCGGCACCACAUGGUGACAGUUGUUAAAGCGGGGGAUCGCAAGACCUCGCGCCUAAAGAGAAGCCCGCGGCAGAUUAGCUAGUUGGUAAGGUAAUGGCUUACCAAGGCUACGAUCUGUAGCCGGCCUGAGAGGGCGGUCGGCCACACUGACACUGAAUAACGGGUCAG
rnacentral:rRNA from 1 species